rnacentral:lncRNA from 1 species
CAGGAGCAACUUUUUGAAGUUCCCAGGCUAGGGGUCCAAUCAGAGCUACAGCUAUGGCCUACACCACAGCCGUGGCAAUGACAGAUCCUCAACCCACUGAGCGAGGCCAGGGAUCAGACCCCCAACCUCAUGGUUCCUAGUUGGAUUUGUUUCCGAUGCGAGCGAAGGGAACUCCAUGUUAAUUUUGUUUGUUGUUUGUUUUUUUGUUUUGCUUUUUGGGGCCAUACUCUUGGCAUGUGGAGGUUCCCAGGCUAGGGGUCCAAUUGGAACUAUAGCUACUGGCCUACGCCACAGCCACACAACGCAGGAUCUGCAUCUUCGACCUGCACCACAGCUCGUGGCAACGCUGGAUCCUUAACCCACUGAGCGAGGCCAGGGGUUGAACCUGAAUCCUCAUGGAUCCUGGUCGGGUUCAUUAACCACUGAGCCACAAAGGGAACUCCAUGUUAAUUUUGCCUUGAUUGAAAUGUUUUUACUAGGCAGCAUUUCCUACUACCAUCAUCAAAGCAGCAUUGCAUUCUAGAAAAACACUGAAGUAAGAUUAAGGAGACUGGGCUCUUAAUUUAAGUUCUGUCACAAGGUAGCAUGUGACUGUGGAUAAGCAAUGUAUUGUCUUUGCGUGUAGAAGAUUACAUUCUAUUAGUGGGAGCUGCAGUUUUUGAGCAGUGCCCUGUACCAGCAAAAGUACACUCUUUACCUCACAACAGUCCUGAAAGUUUCCCCAUUUACAGAUGAGGAAGCAAAGUCCCAGAGGGUAGACAGCUCACCCAUGAUGGCACAGUGGUUAGCAGGUGGUCAGGGCCAGGGCUGCCAUUGACUUCUUUCUGUCUGUUCCUUAGCUUACUUUGAGAUUUAAAUUUACUUUACUCUGAAAAUUCUGAUGCUUUGGAAUCAGAAACCAUGAAACCCUUUCCUACUUGUCUAAUUUGGUCCUCCCCACAGCCCUGUGAAGGGAGUGAUGUCAUCAAUCUCUGGUAUCCUUGAAAUUGACUUUUAACAAUGCCCCUAUCAUUCAUUAUUUUUCUCU